rnacentral:rRNA from 1 species
CCUACGGGUGGCAGCAGUGGGGAAUAUUGGACAAUGGGCGAAAGCCUGAUCCAGCCAUACCGCGUGUGUGAAGAAGGCCUUCGGGUUGUAAAGCACUUUCAGUGGGGAAGAAAGCCUUGGGGCUAAUACCCUCGAGGAAGGACAUCACCCACAGAAGAAGCACCGGCUAACUCCGUGCCAGCAGCCGCGGUAAUACGGAGGGUGCGAGCGUUAAUCGGAAUUACUGGGCGUAAAGCGCGCGUAGGCGGUCUGAUAAGCCGGUUGUGAAAGCCCCGGGCUCAACCUGGGAACGGCAUCCGGAACUGUCAGGCUAGAGUGCAGGAGAGGAAGGUAGAAUUCCCGGUGUAGCGGUGAAAUGCGUAGAGAUCGGGAGGAAUACCAGUGGCGAAGGCGGCCUUCUGGACUGACACUGACGCUGAGGUGCGAAAGCGUGGGUAGCAAACAGGAUUAGAUACCCCAGUAGUC